rnacentral:lncRNA from 13 species
CCUGGCUGUUGUCAACAGGGGGCACUGUGGAGGCGGAGGAUGCUGCUUCUUUUGAUGUUGGUACUGCUACCACACACUCUCUCAGAGGCACUAAGUUUCUACCACACACACUCUCGGUCCUCUUCCCCUCGCUCUCCUCUCCCUGGGUCUCGGGUAAGGCCCAUUCUGUGGCUUUGGGUUGGCCUAGACUUUCUCUGAUUCUAGGGGGCAGCGUUGGUGGGACCUCUGCUUCGUCCGUGAGCGUCUCGGUGGAGUCCUCCAUGGCCGUAGGGAACGUGGGAACUAGCUGCUCGAGUGCCGGCAUCUCUGCAGAAGCGGAGGGGGCGUUCUGGAGGCCGUUGGUGAUAGGCCCGUUCAGAACGGCUGCCGGUAGCGGGCCCUUCCAGGCAGGUGGUGAUGGUAUGCAGGCAGGACGGGUAGUGACCGAGGUAGUCCUGGAGUGACUGUCAGCCGUCUGAUGUGGCAGUCGAGGGGGAGGAACUGGGGGGUUAGUGGUCUGGGAGAGGGCCUGGUGGAGGAGGGGUGUGAGCAGGGGGAGAGGGGGGAAGUGGGGGUUGCCCUGCUCCAGACAAAUGGGGGGGAGGGGCUGGGUGGUGAGACAGAUCUCCUCUCUCAUCUCCGCCUCCUCGAAGCCCUCUUCCCUCUGCUCCAUCUCCACGGGUGUGGUAGGAGGAGUCUGAGUGACAGGCUCCACCUCCGAGUCGUCGCUUUCCAAUCCCGUGUCAGGGCUGACGUCCUCGGGGCUGUCGGGGAUAAAGAGGAAGUUCUGGAAGUUCUUGUUGCCGGAGCGGAGUAGAGACCAGACGGAGCAGGUGCGGUUGUGGAUGUUGCGGACCUCUCUCUCCCGCCCGUUGUUACACAGGAACGUCCCGUACAGACACGAGUACGUGUGCUGCACCAGCUUGACCUGGGGGAGAGGAACAAAAACACACACGGUAGGCCUUUAUACAUUCCUUAAUAUACACAGUAACACUCCUAAAGUACUACACAGAACACAGUAACACUCCUAAACUACUACACAGUACACAGUAACACUCCUAAACUACUACACAGAACACAGUAACACUCCUAAACUACUACACAGAACACAGUAACACUCCUAAACUACUACACAGAACACAGUAACACUCCUAAACUACUACACAGUACACAGUAACACUCCUAAACUACUACACAGAACACAGUAACACUCCUAAACUACUACACAGAACACAGUAACACUCCUAAACUACUACANNNNNNNNNNNNNNNNNNNNNNNNNNNNNNNNNNNNNNNNNNNNNNNNNNNNNNNNNNNNNNNNNNNNNNNNNNNNNNNNNNNNNNNNNNNNNNNNNNNNUGUGUGUGUGUGUGUGUGUGUGUGUGUGUCUGUCUUGAAGCCUUUGUUAACCAGGACAGGUUGAGGUGAGCUGAGCACCAUUAUAGAGGCAGAGAGGAGAGAAACUAAAGGCUUUCUGAGAUAAAGGCAACAGAACAGUCAGAAAAAGGACAAAAUGUUUCUGCUGGAUGUUUGGAGGAGGUGACCAUGUGACUGUGGAGACUAUAUAAGUAUUUUGUCUGAUCAGGGUUUACAAUAUGGCUUUUGUUGCCAUGACCGCCCGCUCCCAGAUCUGAGUGACUUUGAUCCUGCGGUUAACAGAGUAAACGAUCACAGAGGUCAGAACUACAGACUCCUUCAUUAGUUCAUCCACAUGAAACCUCACACACACACACACACACACACGGUUUUUACUUGUACUGGCCCUGACAUGGGGUUUAGACUGUAAACUGAGUUAGUCUGAUUCCAAUAUGAACGUGGGUGCAUGAUUGUGCACUUAAUCUUAGUCUCUCACUGAGUCAGAGAUUGAGAUGGAUUUUUUUUUUAAAACCAUUUGCACUGAAACAGAAAGAGUGAAAGAGAGACAGAGAGAGAGACAGAAAGAGUGAAAGAGAGAGAGACAGAGAGAGUGAAAGAGAGAGACAGAGAGUGAAAGAGAGACAGAGAGAGAGAGAGAGACAGAGAGACAGAGAGACAGAGACAGCUAGAGACACAAGGCUACCUGCCACCCCAAUUAACAGUAAACUUCACACUCACAGAAGCUCCAAAAGAAUAAAGACAUUUCAUAUGUCAUAUUAUGUCUAUAUACAGUGUUGUAACGAUGCACAGGUAGUUCAAAUAAAAAAGAGAAAAUCUCCAUCUGUCUCGCUCUCUCCGUCUGUCUCGCUCUCUCCGUCUGUCUCGCUCUCUCAGUCUCUCUCUCCGUCUGUCUUGCUCUCUCCGUCUGUCUCGCUCUCUGUCUCUCUCUCCAUCUGUCUCGCUCUCUCCGUCUGUCUCGCUCUCUCCGUCUGUCUCGCUCUCUGUCUCUCUCUCCAUCUGUC